CAUUAAGAAGCUAUAUAGCGUUAACCUUUUAAGUUAAAAUUUGAGAGUAUUUAGACCUCUCCUUAAUGA
rnacentral:tRNA from 2 species